rnacentral:rRNA from 1 species
UACGUAGGGUGCAAGCGUUGUCCGGAAUUAUUGGGCGUAAAGAGCUCGUAGGCGGUUUGUCGCGUCUGCUGUGAAAACGCGAGGCUCAACCUCGCGCCUGCAGUGGGUACGGGCAGACUAGAGUGCGGUAGGGGAGAUUGGAAUUCCUGGUGUAGCGGUGGAAUGCGCAGAUAUCAGGAGGAACACCGAUGGCGAAGGCGGGUCUCUGGGCAGUAACUGACGCUGAGGAGCGAAAGCGUGGGGAGCGAACAGG